GACGAACCGUGCGAACGUUGUUCGGAAUCACUGGGCUUAAAGGGCGCGUAGGCGGACUGCCAAGUCCGGGGUGAAAUCCUCCGGCUUAACCGGAGAAUUGCCUGGGAUACUGGCGGUCUUGAGGGAGGUAGGGGGCGACGCGGAACUUCCGGUGGAGCGGUGAAAUGCGUUGAUAUCGGAAGGAACGCCGGUGGCGAAGCGGCGUGCCUGGCCCUCUUCUGACGCUGAGGCGC
rnacentral:rRNA from 1 species